ACGGGAGGCAGCAGUGGGGAAUAUUGCACAAUGGGGGAAACCCUGAUGCAGCGACGCCGCGUGAGUGAAGAAGUAUUUCGGUAUGUAAAGCUCUAUCAGCAGGAAAGAAAAUGACGGUACCUGACUAAGAAGCCCCGGCUAACUACGUGCCAGCAGCCGCGGUAAUACGUAGGGGGCAAGCGUUAUCCGGAUUUACUGGGUGUAAAGGGAGCGUAGACGGCUUUGCAAGUCUGAAGUGAAAGCCCGGGGCUCAACCCCGGAACUGCUUUGGAAACUGUAGAGCUAGAGUGCAGGAGAGGUAAGUGGAAUUCCUAGUGUAGCGGUGAAAUGCGUAGAUAUUGGGAGGAACACCGGUGGCGAAGGCGGCUUGCUGGACUGUAACUGACGUUGAGGCUCGAAAGCGUGGGGAGCAAACAGGAUUAGAUACCCUGGUA
rnacentral:rRNA from 1 species